GCUUUACACAUGCAAGUCGAACGGUAACAGGUCUUCGGACGCUGACGAGUGGCGAACGGGUGAGUAAUAUAUCGGAACGUGCCCAGUCGUGGGGGAUAACGUAGCGAAAGUUACGCUAAUACCGCAUACGAUCUACGGAUGAAAGCGGGGGAUCGCAAGACCUCGCGCGAUUGGAGCGGCCGAUAUCAGAUUAGGUAGUUGGUGGGGUAAAGGCUCACCAAGCCAACGAUCUGUAGCUGGUCUGAGAGGACGACCAGCCACACUGGAACUGAGACACGGUCCAGACUCCUACGGGAGGCAGCAGUGGGGAAUUUUGGACAAUGGACGCAAGUCUGAUCCAGCCAUUCCGCGUGCAGGAUGAAGGCCCUCGGGUUGUAAACUGCUUUUGUACGGAACGAAAAGGUCUCUAUUAAUACUAGGGGCUCAUGACGGUACCGUAAGAAUAAGCACCGGCUAACUACGUGCCAGCAGCCGCGGUAAUACGUAGGGUGCAAGCGUUAAUCGGAAUUACUGGGCGUAAAGCGUGCGCAGGCGGUUAUGUAAGACAGAGGUGAAAUCCCCGGGCUCAACCUGGGAACUGCCUUCGUGACUGCAUAGCUAGAGUACGGUAGAGGGGGAUGGAAUUCCGCGUGUAGCAGUGAAAUGCGUAGAUAUGCGGAGGAACACCGAUGGCGAAGGCAAUCCCCCUGGACCUGUACUGACGCUCAUGCACGAAAGCGUGGGGAGCAAACAGGAUUAGAUACCCCUGGUAGUCCAC
rnacentral:rRNA from 1 species